GGUGGCCUAGUGGUAGAGCACCUGCCUCGGAUGAGGUAGGUUGUGGGUUCAAACCCCAGCUGAGUCA